UACGUAGGCAGCGAGCGUUGUUCGGAGUUACUGGGCGUAAAGAGUGCGUAGGCGGUUUUCUAAGUUUGGUGUGAAAUCUCCCGGCUCAACUGGGAGGGUGCGCCGAAGACUGGAAGGCUUGAGUAUGGGAGAGGUAAGCGGAAUUCCUGGUGUAGCGGUGAAAUGCGUAGAUAUCAGGAGGAACACCUGCGGUGUAGACGGCUUACUGGACCAUAACUGACGCUGAGGCACGGAAGCGUGGGUAGCAAACAGG
rnacentral:rRNA from 1 species